AUCAUUUAUGGUAGUUACUUGUUCCCCGGAUAGUUUAGUUACGUAGCCAAUUGUGGAACUUUCUUGCUAAAAUUUUUAAGAAUACUAAUUGGGUUAAACCAGUUAGUUCUUAUUAAUUAUAACGAUUAUCAAUUAACAAUCAAUUCAGAACUGGCACGGACUUGGGGAAUCCGACUGUCUAAUUAAAACAAAGCAUUGUGAUGGCCCUAGCGGGUGUUGACACAAUGUGAUUUCUGCCCAGUGCUCUGAAUGUCAAAGUGAAGAAAUUCAAGUAAGCGCGGGUCAACGGCGGGAGUAACUAUGACUCUCUUAAGGUAGCCAAAUGCCUCGUCAUCUAAUUAGUGACGCGCAUGAAUGGAUUAACGAGAUUCCUACUGUCCCUAUCAUGCUGCUCAAAGGCAUACUUAGACGGCCGCCAGUGGUACGGUUUGCUGGAGCAAGCCUGCCAUAUAAGCGCAAGUAUCGGUACCUAGGCAUCACGGUCGGCGAGCGGUUGAGUUUUCUCCCGCACAUCACGGGCUUGCGUGAUAAGCUGACCGGAGUCGUAGGGGCAUUGUCGCGCGUACUGCGGGUCGACUGGGGACUCAGUCCCCGCGCAAAGCGGACAAUAUAUGCCGGACUCAUGGUGCCCUGUGCACUAUUUGGUGCCUCGGUUUGGUCUGUCGUGACGACGACGCAAGUGGUUGCCAGGAGGCAUCUGCUUGCGUGCCAAAGGAUCGUCCUGAUUGGAUGCCUACCGGUAUGCCGAACAGUGUCCACCAUGGCACUGCAAGUACUAGCUGGAGCCCCCCCGUUUGAUCUGGCUGCCAGACGCCUGGCAAUCAGCUUCAAGCUAAAGCGUGACUACCCGCUGGAGGAGAGCGAUUGGCUGUACGGCGAAGAUUUGGCAAAUCUUAGCUGGAAGCAGAAGAUGGCGCGACUAGACGAAGACCUGUUGUGCGAGUGGCAACGCAGAUGGGAUGAUGGUGACUCCCCAGGACGGGUGACGCACCGCUUCAUCCCGAACGCAGGCUUCGUCUACAGCGAACGAAGGUUUGGCUUCACGCUGCACGCUGGGUUCCUGCUGACGGGCCACGGAUCGCUCAAUGCAUUUCUGCAUGGAAGAAGCCUUAGCGACACGCCAGCAUGUCUAUGCGGCGCAGAACGCGAGGAUUGGCAGCACUUCCUAUGUGCUUGUCCCCUCUAUACAGACUUGCGAGACCUCGAUGGACUUGGAGUGCAGUACACGGAUGGCGACUGGACCUUCUCCGAUGUGACGGCUUCUCAGGAGAGAAUGCGGACUCUCGACAGGUUCGCCGGACUGGCGUUCUCCAGGCGACAGCAGCUGCUGAAUGCGCAAGCGGCGCACGGGCUGGGUGGAUUCCCUAUCCAGGCCGGUCGGGGCUAAAAGGGAGGAUCGAGCUGAGUCCUUAAGAUCGGUACCACGGGUUGUGCAGUUCCAAGGCUGCACAUUGAGGUCGGCCCCCUAGUGGGAGUAUCGUGGUGGCUGUGGUUGAUACCCAAACGUUACGCGGGAGAGCCGCUAGGCUCCUCGUGGAGUUGCGCUCUCAACCGGGUGCCGAGACCCAUAGAUCGGAAGACGUGUUAGAUACACCUCGCCCCUCACCAAGGGGGAUUGUAUGCCCGACCAGGAUACUUUCAAUUGGUACCAGAAGAGUCGCUAUGUACAUAGCUAUAGCUUCUUUUUAGGGGCGUUAACUGGCGCAUUGUACCAGGUUCCUGCGUAUGUAGCGGUGGUGCGUGAUGGCGUGAUAUAUGUAAAUAUAUCGCACUAAUCGAGGCUAAGCUGCAGAUAAACAUUAGACGCCGUGGUUGAAAUCCCUCCCUGAGGAACCGCCACGUAAAAUAAAGCUGAGAGAUCAGAUUCAUUCUGUCCCUAUCUACUAUCUAGCGAAACCACAGCCAAGGGAACGGGCUUGGAAUAAUUAGCGGGGAAAGAAGACCCUUUUGAGCUUGACUCUAAUCUGGCAGUGUAAGGAGACAUAAGAGGUGUAGCAUAAGUGGGAGAUAUUAGAUUUCGGUUUGGUAUCGACAAUGAAAUACCACUACUCUUAUUGUUUCCUUACUUACUUGAUUAAAUGGAACGUGUAUCAUUUCCUAGCCAUUAUACGGAUAUAUUUAUUAUAUCUUAUGGUAUUGGGUUUUGAUGCAAGCUUCUUGAUCAAAGUAUCACGAGUUUGUUAUAUAAUCGCAAACAAAUUCUUUAAUGAGAAAAUGCAUUUAUGUAUUUUCAAUUUGAAAAUUUGGUAUAACUCCAAUUACUCAGGUAUGAUCCAAUUCAAGGACAUUGCCAGGUAGGGAGUUUGACUGGGGCGGUACAUCUCUCAAAUAAUAACGGAGGUGUCCCAAGGCCAGCUCAGUGCGGACAGAAACCACACAUAGAGCAAAAGGGCAAAUGCUGACUUGAUCUCGGUGUUCAGUACACACAGGGACAGCAAAAGCUCGGCCUAUCGAUCCUUUUGGUUUAAAGAGUUUUUAACAAGAGGUGUCAGAAAAGUUACCAUAGGGAUAACUGGCUUGUGGCGGCCAAGCGUUCAUAGCGACGUCGCUUUUUGAUCCUUCGAUGUCGGCUCUUCCUAUCAUUGUGAAGCAAAAUUCACCAAGCGUUGGAUUGUUCACCCAUGCAAGGGAACGUGAGCUGGGUUUAGACCGUCGUGAGACAGGUUAGUUUUACCCUACUAAUGACAAAACGUUGUUGCGACAGCAUUCCUGCGUAGUACGAGAGGAACCGCAGGUACGGACCAAUGGCACAAUACUUGUUCGAGCGAACAGUGGUAUGACGCUACGUCCGUUGGAUUAUGCCUGAACGCCUCUAAGGUCGUAUCCGUGCUGGACUGCAAUGAUAAAUAAGGGGCAAUUUGCAUUGU
rnacentral:rRNA from 1 species